rnacentral:lncRNA from 1 species
GUUGAACAAAGUUAUCAAGAUGACUUCACAAUAACCAUACAUUUCAACGCCAAGCAUACAUCAAAUUAAGUGUCUGCAGCGAAAAACAAAUUUUGGACAUACACACAUUCAUAUAUAUGAAACUACAUAUCUUUAGGUUGCUCCUAUUAAAGACGAAAAGUCUUUACUCAGCAUUUCACCAUCGUCUUCAUUAGCUCAACCUGCACAUUUAUUAAUACAUAUAGGGUUGAGUACAAAAGAAUUCAGUGUGCAAAUAUAAAAAAUAUACUUGAGUAAUUCUGAAUUGUUAUGCCAUCUCAAUAGGAGUCAGGGGAUUUUUUAGGACAUUAACUUAGAUUGAUUUGAAAAUUAGGACAAUAACUUUCGGACUUGUAAAAUUAGGACACUAAUUAUUUUUUUAGAGUAAAAUAGGACACUAAUUAAUAAGCUUUGUAAAAAUAGGACAUUUCUCAGCCGAUAAUUGGCUAAAAAAUGUCAUGCGGAUGCAACACUUAUUAAUUAGUGUCCUAUUUUACUCUAAAAAAAAAUUAGUGUCCUAUAUUUACAAGUUCGAAAGUUAUUGUCCUAAUUUCCAAAUCAAUCUAAGUUACUGUCCUAAAAAACCCUCGAACUCUCUCAAUAGUAACGCAAGGGGUUUUAUCUGAAAAUGUCCGUGCUUACUAAAUUCCUUUUUGAAACUAAAGUUUGCAUAAUCAAUCUAAGUUCUUUUGUACUUUAUCAUAUAUGUGGUGAUAAUUGAGUGCCGAGAAAAUGGUCGCCUUCUACAAUCACAAAUCGGCCAAUAUGCUAAAUCGGCUCACGAUCCCUUGUAUACACUGACUUUGUCUAACAUCUGGAUAUAACAAGGUUCAAAUUCGAUUACCGUAAAAUUACCUUGAGUUAUACUGUAUUUUGAGUCGGUAAUUAUAGCUACGUAAAAAGGGUGUUGCAACGGGUCGGUUGCUCAGUUAAUCUAGGUCAAUUAAGCUUAACAAAUCUAAUUUAAUCUAGCUAUAUUACUAGUUAAUAAAGAAUUGGGCCUUUUCAUUUUCUACAAACUUUGGCCAAUAAAAAUGCUGUUGGGACUUGGACUUGGGCUUGGGCAUCUUAAUAAAAUCCUGAUUCAUCUUCUGUAUUGAAUCAAAUCAAUUGUGAUGUAAUUGGGCCCAUCAUAAAUCUCAACUCACAUAUAGAAUUUAAUCUACUAGAUAAAAUUAUUAUUAAUCAGUGUCUUCCAACUGUCUCUAAGCUGGGCCACUACUCAAAUCCAUAAAAAGAGAGAGAAACAAAUUGGGUAAUACUAGUAAUCACAUGCAACUCUCAAUUUUCUCCAAUGAAAAUGUUUAAGGGUACUUUAAUUUCUUUUAAUUUUUUACUUGCCAUAUUCGUUUUCUUUAUUUUUAUGUUUUAAUAAUAAGCUCAUUGACUCCAAAUCUAUGAUUUGCGCCACUAGACAUGCAUAUUGCAUAAUGUUGCUCCUUGUAAUUCUUUGUGUUUUUGUGUUAGAGAUUGUCAACUAUGAUAGUUUUCAAAUUUACACGACGUACACUUUUUAUUUUUUACUUUUCUUUUUCAAAAUAUUAUCUUUCAUGUGGAGUUAAUUUAGUGAUUUAAAUUAAUUAUGCCUUUUGUUAAUCCGAAGAGCAUUCCGCAAAUUAUAAGAUUCGUUUUUGUACGCUAAGCUUGGGUCUAAUCGUGCCGACGUCUUAUCCACAAAGCCCACUUAAUAUUUAUUGGGCUUGAUCAUUACGUGACAAAGGCCCAAGAUAAUUAAAAUAUUGAUAUGCAUGUCGAAUCUUCAAUUUCUUGACAUAUGAAAUAAUGAAACAAAAAUUGGCUAAGAAAACAGUUAAAUGACGCUUAUGUUUCCGUGGGGGUCCUUGUAAUUUUUUUUAAUGACUUACAAGCAGUCCCAUUAGAUUUUGUGACGCAAUGAUAUCCACCCCAUGUCACACUCAACUAGCAAUUUUAUCAAAAUAUUUAAGACUGCGAUUAUGAUUAAAUAAAUGGUGGUCAAUGACUAAAAUCAUCUCAAAUCCACCGAAGUUGGUGAAGAAUGAUGUAGAAUAGUGAAAAGGCAGAACAUAUUAUAGCAUGAUACUUGAAUGGGAUAUCAAUCUGAUCAUAUCAAGAUUGUGCACACAAUAUCUCUCUCAAGUCUCAAAUAUGUAUGUGCGCAACUUUAUCAUUUAAUUAUAUAACCAAUCGGAUACAUACAAUUAAUUAUAAUCAAACUUACACAUAUAUAUACUAUGCACUCUUUUCCUAAAUUUAAAUUUGAUAAGCGAAUAUGAUAACGCACCCAAAUAAAAAGUGAAGUAAAAUUGGCUCUUGGAGUUGUGAAGUAAUAUUGAACCCCAAAAACACAGUAGUCACAAUCAGAAAUUCUCGUCAUCAAUAGUCAAUACAUUACAUAGUUUCUCGUGACUUUACAAAUGUAUCUAAAGACAAAGGCAUCGGCCUCUGUUUUACUACUCUCAAUAUAUUAUCAAAAAUUUCAACCCCUUGUUUUGUUGUCGCCUUCUUAGUUCCCCAAUUCGAGAAACACAUCUCUCCAUGCAUAUUUUUUCAAUCUUUGCUUUUGUAGGUAUAUAUAUGAUUUUUUUUUUGCAUUUCAUGGUAGUAUUUGAAUUCAUGACCAUUAAUUCAUUCACAAAAACUUGAGUACAAUCGAGUGUAUCGUACAACUGGGUUGACCCGCACUCAAAAUAGUGUUAUUUAUAAAAUUCGGGUCAGAAUACGGAUUCGGAUCAGGGUGCAGGUAAGGGUUUAAGUGAGUGUGCAACCUGAUUGUACAGUACACUCCAUGUACCCAAGACCAUCUCUAAUUCAUUUAGUAAAAAAUGUUUACACUCCAAGAAAAAUAAGUUAAGCUUAAGAGAGAUGGUGUUGCUUUAAUUAUGGGAUUAAUAUAAUUAUCGAGCAAGUCGUUAUCUAACCUACCCUGAAGGGAAGAAAUUUGUGGUGCUUUUGAAUGUCGGCUUAUGUGGAAAUUCAAACACAAAAAUUUUAUAAAUGCAAGUUGUGAUAUAAUCUAAAUCUACCCCUAUCUGCUGCAUUAAAUACGGUAGAAGAUUUGUCUGUACGUACGUUUUUCAACACUACACCGCACUCAUCAUUUAUCAAUCCCAAUCCCAAUACCAAACCUAAAGCUUAAUUCCAACGCGUGGCGAUAAGUGCUAUUACGCAUCAACCCUACACCUUAUUUACUUCUCAUCGUCACCAUAUUUUUACCCCUUUUUUCCCCUUCUAAAAGUUAUGACUCAUAGAUAAGGGAGUAAAAUACAAGGUAUUCACAAUUUAAAUGGUUUGAAUCGAGUUUAAGAUACUAUUCAAACGUGCAUGAAUUUUUUGAAUAAUUUUUGUAAAUCAUUUUUAAGAAUAAUUUAAUUAUUAUUUUAAUCGAUAUUACUUUGACUUGAUUUCGGUCUUCAACAAGUUUGAUAAAUUCUUGUGACAAUAACAUCACCUUUUAAUUAAUAGCAAAAAAAAGAUCCAUUUAAUAUAAUUCGACGGCAUUAUUUUGACCUCAAGACUCAUAUGAUGUUAUUUCAUGAGUGAUGUGCGGUAAGUACAUUCAAAUUAAGGAUCACACCAUAUUAAUUUUUUGGUUGUCGGAAAGGUUUAGCUUGUCUAUUUUGCCACAAAUUGAAAAUUGAUGUUAUUAUUAAAAUAAUUUAUUAAAUGUGUUGAAAAUAAAUUUUAGGAUACAAUUUGUAAAUUUUUUAAUUAGCAAUUAACCACCCUAAAAAAAUUUAGACAAAUAAUAAUUUAAUUUUUUUAGCUUAAUGAAAUCCUACCAAGCUCAAGUGAAGACGUUUAAAAUUAAUCCUACUAUAGUCUAGUUUUGAUAGAUCACUUCAUUUAAAAAUUACUAAAAACGUGAUUUCAGGUCAUAAAAUUUCUUCAAAACAAACAGGGUCGCCCAUAAAAUAGGAGAGAUAGAAAGGAGAGAUAAGUUGUACAGAAAAUUAAAAUUAAGGUACACCAAAAUUUGACGUAAUUCUUUAAAACAUGUGAAGCUUUACGCAACAUGUUUACAUCACAAUAAAUUUUCGUACAUUUUACCCAAAAUAAAUAACUAUCACUGAUUGUGAAAGAUAGGGCAACGUGCAAGUAUAUAUAACAACUCAAUCACUUUAACCUGAUAUUGGUAUCGAAUAUAUUUUAAUAUUUUAUAAACCAUUGCAUAAUACUUCCUCCGUCCCACGCAUUUUAACACGUUUGGUUUGGGCACGAGAAUUAAGAAAUUGUAGAUUAGUAUUUUAAGUGUGUAGUUAAUAAAAUAUAAAAGUGAUAAAGUAGGAGAGAGAAAGUGAUAAAAGUGAUAAAGUAUGAGACAAAAAAUAAUAAAAGUAAUAAAGUAGGAGAUAGAAGUUACCUUAUUUGAAAAUGUGUUAAGAUUUGUGGAACGACCCAAAAAGAAAAACGUGUCAAGAUUCGUGGACGGAGGGAGUAUCAUCACUAGCUAGCAAAAUAAACAUAUUAAAAAAAAAAAACCACAAUUAAAAAAUGACUGGAAAUACUUUUUCCAUGUUGGCACGAUACUUAUUUGAGAAACU